UGUGGACAUAUGCACAUGCUUAUGUAAAAUGUACAAUGCAGAAAGCCAGAAUCUAGAAACAUACAGUGUGAAUGUAUAUGUGCUACUGGUGGAGGAGCACAGGGAGACUGAUCCAUGCAGCAAUUAGAAGGACUGGGGAUAUGCCUUGAAAACCAACCUCUCGCCUCCUCAUGAAGUUUAAGUACCUUCUUUUCCUUCCAAGAAAAUCCCAUCUAUUCCAGUCACAUCACAGCAGCUCAGCAUGGGACAUCUCCUGGAUCCUGGAUGUGCAAGAUUGAGAAGAAGAAAGAAACAAAGAAAACUGAGCCAAGAGUGUAAAAUUCCAAAACCACAUUUCCUAUAUAAAUUCAUCAAUUAAUACAUGGAACCGAAGAGCUGAAAAAAAACAAUCUCUGAUUAAUAGGGUUUUUUUGUCCCCAAAGGAGGAACUUUGAUGAUAAUUUGCUGUAAAAAAAAAAACCUUUUACACAAAGCAAAGCCGAGCCCAAUAUUAAGGAAGACAAGUGCAAGAUAAGAUGUUAGUUGAUUGACUGCUCCGCAAUACGAGAUGGCAGAUUGACUCAGCCCUGCUGCACUUGUGCUAUCCUUAAAUUUUAAUAUGAGCCACUUACUCGUCUGCAAA